GACAGAGGGUGCGAACGUUGUUCGGAAUUACUGGGCGUAAAGCGCGUGUAGGCGGCUGUGCAAGUCGGGUGUGAAAGCCCUGGGCUCAACCCAGGAAGUGCAUUCGAUACUGCGCAGCUUGAGUCCCGGAGAGGGUGGCGGAAUUCUCGGUGUAGAGGUGAAAUUCGUAGAUAUCGAGAGGAACACCGGUGGCGAAGGCGGCCACCUGGACGGUGACUGGACGCGAGACGCGAAAGCGUUGGGGAGA
rnacentral:rRNA from 1 species